rnacentral:lncRNA from 1 species
AUAUCCCCAUCCCUUUUUGUUGUAUAUUUUUUAGAGAUAGGGUUGCUGAGUUGCUUAGGGCCUGGCUAAAUUGCUGAGGCUGCCUUUGAACUCUGAAUCCUCCUGCCUCAGCCUCACAAGUUGCUGGAAUUACAGGCGUGCACUACCAUGCCCUUUUUUGUUUCAGUAUCUAAUAUAGGUCGCUACUUAUGCGUUUAAUUGUCAUGCCUUUUCCAACCUGUGGUUAUUUACCUAAUCCCAAAGUAUUACCACGGUACUACCAUGGUAUUUAUAAAUAAAAUAGUAACUAUACAGUGGAAAAACUCAGCAGGUGCCACCUGAAGCAUACAAUCAACUACCAAUGUUAACAUUACUGGUAAUGAGACUUUGAUGUCAACCCCCCAUGAUGUAGGCCGAGGACACAUCACUUCUGGUGCUGGUGCCAGACGUGCAGUCUUGUCAAAGCGAAAUGUUGAGGGAUAUUGACAAAACUGACCAGUGUUCCUCACAAGUGUCCUGGUCCUGAAGGUCAGAAACUCAGAAUUUUUGGCAAGAAGAGGACCAGGUGAUGCAAAUGCACAUUAACGCUCAAGAAAGACCUCCGUGCCAGGAAAUAAAGGCCCAAAACCUUGUUUUGUGAGUUGGUGAGUAGGUGCUCAGGAGACAUUCUAGAUGAGUUUGCAAUGAUGGUUUUUUUAUUGAUGGCUUAUUUGUCUUUUUUCCUCAUAGUUGUCAUCUGUACUAUGUAAAUCACCCAACCUUAGUUCCAUAAGUAAAUUAAUUACAUGACACGGAAGUCUUUGACUUUUAAACAUUCAUGUAACUUACAGUACCCCUUCAGCUGCUGAAAUCCUGAAAAACAUUUUCUCUGGAAGAAAAUUUUCUUGGGGAGAAUAUAUACUGAGGAUCUCUACAAGAAUGUCCAGAUAAAAGCUUUAAAAAGUCCUCAUACGCAUGGUAAAUAAAGAUUUUUAUUGUUUUGCUUUGUAUGUAUGAUAGUCAUAAAAAAAGACACCAGGAACUGUUCAGUAGAAGUGCUGUGAACCGUUCUGAAGUAUCCCUUUUGGGGAGGAGUUUUAGGGAAUUCAAGAAGCAAAUACUAGGAAUCACUUGGUUUCAAUUCUGCUGUUAAGAAGCCACGCUUGCUUGAGCUCAUUUUGCCCCUGGCAGAAACAUGCCAGGGUAGGCUGUACACCCUCCCAGCCUGCAGGCAUCUGCUCCAAAGUGAAGUCAUCCUCUCAUCUUUAUCCCUCUGGGCCUUGGCUUUGACUCCAUGGGUCUGUUGCACAAGACUGCUCUGCCCACCCCUCUGCCCUUACUUCUCAGGAGCAGAGAUAAAGAAACACUGAUCCCUUCACUUCAAUCCCCGGUACAGAGUGAAGUGCUAUCCUGUGUGGAUGGAAUAAGUCAGUGGAGCUUGGAACUGGCCCUGGAUCCCAGUGGAGGAGCUAGCGUCUCUGCAGCCUGGAGCCUGGAAAUAUUCUUGAAUUAAAAUAUAACGGAACAUUGACAUACACAAGCAGGUUGUAUGCUUGAAAUACUGUAAAGUCAUAUGAAAUUGGUGCCUAUUGAAUUGACUUCUCUGCAUCUCUCCUGUGUGCCUGAUCAAGAGCUGUCCAAUUUUAUUACAUGUGCUGGAACAUCGUCCCCCAUGGUGGAGUGGACAGUGAGAUUUGCUUCUUGUAAGGAGCUUCGUAUUUGGGAAAGAGAAGACAGAAAAGGCCAAAGAGGGUGAAAAGACUGGGAUAGAUUUUAGCUAAACCACUGGGUUGAUAGGGGGAAUGGAGUGCAUGUGAACUCAGGCUACUGUUGCCUUUCUUCAGGUGGUCUGUUGCAUAGAAAGUGACUGAGUGGGUGGGAAACCUGUCUGGUGGGGGCUUCUGCGGACUUGGGGCAGGGCCCUGUGCUGACAUAACCUUUUAGUAAUAAAGACCUCUGUGCCACCAAGAAUGCA